GGCGACGUACCACUUGCCCAAGGGGGCAUCAGAGCAUCAUGGCUUUGAGUACGCAUAGGACAACGUACCGGAGCUCAUCAUGUAUAUGUUUUGCUGUACAAGGUACAGAGAGAGGUAGGUGGUUAGGAGUAGAUACAGGUUGGUUGGUGGCACGUACAGUACUCAACAGCGCCCUGCCCGCACGUAAUUACCAUAAUCUCCUUGGGAGAAUAUAUGACGAGUACUUUGGUUCU
rnacentral:lncRNA from 1 species